rnacentral:sRNA from 1 species
GCCCCAGGCCCUCCUCCCGGGUCUCCCCCACCAUAGCGUUUCCCCGCUGAGUACCCCCUGUCUGCCUUCGCUGUCUGCCCCAGGCCUUCUGGCGGCCGCCCGUGGUUUCUCCUGGGGAGUGAUGAGCGGGAGCGGCUCUGGGCCGAGCUGCUGCGCACGGUGAGCCCAGAGCUGAUCCUGGAUCACGAGGUGCCUCCACUGCCCGCCUUCCCUGGACAGGAGCCCAGGUGCGGCCCGGAGCCCACUGAAGUCUUCACUGUCGGACCCAAGACCUUUUCCUGGACACCCUUUCCGCCGGACCUGUGGGGCCCGGGCCGUUCCUAUCGGCUGCUUCGCGGGGCAGGAGGGCACCUGGAAUCCCCCGCCAGGUCCCUGCCCCAGCGCCCGGCACCUGAUCCCUGCAGGGCCCCCAGGGUGGAGCAGCAGCCGUCUGUGGAGGGUGCCGCGGCCCUGCGCAGCUGCCCCAUGUGCCAGAAGGAGUUCGCCCCCAGGCUGAGCCAGCUGGAUGUUGACAGCCACCUGGCCCAGUGUUUGGCCGAAAGCACAGAAGACGCGAUGUGGUGAGCGCCAUCCGGAGAGCCCUGCGCAGUGUGUGACGCCCGGACACGCGCUCUCCCGCCAGAAGCCCCGCCUCUCGGCUCCCCCGCAUGCGCAUUAAAGCAGGGCGGGCUCCUGUC